AUCACCACUGCACCUGCCUGGUCUUUGUUGACUGGUUCACUCCAGUGAUGAGCUGAGACUAAACCCCAGCUUUGGAAACAGGGAUGUUCUUCAUGUGGAUGACUGUGCCAAAAGUGGGAAAAUAG